rnacentral:lncRNA from 1 species
CAAACCCUCGACGGAAACCCUCCCCUAACCUUCAACGAAAGAAAAAUUCCUAACCUCCAACGAUCCGAUGGCGGAUGACCGUGGUAGUGGUUCCGCUCUACGUUCUUCGAUCUCAGUCCACGGACUUAUGGGUGAGGGGAGGUUCGCCGACGUGUUACUCUGGAGAAGACCAUAUAAUGAGGGGAGGUUCGCCGACGGACUCA